GGCCGCACGACUACUAUGAAGAAAGUAAACGGUCUUAACCCAGCUAGGUGCACUACAACCCAGCUAGGUGCACUACAACCCAGCUAGGUGCACUACAACCCAGCUAGGUGCACUACAACCCAGCUAGGUGCACUACAACCCAGCUAGGUGCACUACAACCCAGCUAGGUGCACUACAACCCAGCUAGGUGCACUACAACCCAGCUAGGUGCACUACAACCCAGCUAGGUGCACUACAACCCAGCUAGGUCCACUACAACCCAGCUAGGUGCACUACAACCCAGCUAGGUGCACUACAACCCAGCUAGGUGCACUACAACCCAGCUAGGUCCACUACAACCCAGCUAGGUCCACUACAACCCAGCUAGGUCCACUACAACCCAGCUAGGUGCACUACAACCCAGCUAGGUGCACUACAACCCAGCUAGGUCCACUACAACCCAGCUAGGUGCACUACAACCCAGCUAGGUGCACUACAACCCAGCUAGGUGCACUACAACCCAGCUAGGUCCACUACAACCCAGCUAGGUGUACAGGUCCACUACAACCCAGCUAGGUCCACUACAACCCAGCUAGGUGCACUACAACCCAGCUAGGUCCACUACAACCCAGCUAGGUGCACUACAACCCAGCUAGGUGCACUACAACCCAGCUAGGUGCACUACAACCCAGCUAGGUGCACUACAACCCAGCUAGGUGCACUACAACCCAGCUAGGUGCACUACAACACAGCUAGGUGUACAGGUCCAGUAAUACAAUACAACAGUGUAAUUGGCAGCCAUUUCCAAAUCCCUGAAGGCACCACGUUCAUCUGU